GUGGGUAGCUUCCCGGAAACGAAAGUCUUCCGGUUCCGGGGGAAGUAUGGUUGCAAAGCUGAAACUUAAAGGAAUUGACGGAAGGGCACCACCAGGAGUGGAGCCUGCGGCUUAAUUUGACUCAACACGGGGAAACUCACCCGGCCCGGACACCGUAAGGAUUGACAGAUUGAUAGCUCUUUCAUGAUUCGGUGGUUGGUGGUGCAUGGCCGUUCUUAGUUCGUGGAUCGAUUUGUCUGGUUUAUUCCGAUAACGAGCGAGACUCUAGCCUACUAAAUAGUAACGAGAUUAUCAAUGUCUCAGUUGCUUCUUAGAGGGAUUUUCGGUGUUUAGCCGCACGAGAUUGAGCAAUAACAGGUCUGUGAUGCCCUUAGAUGUCCGGGGCUGCACGCGCGCUACACUGGCGAAAUCAGCGUGCUGUAUCCAUUCUCGAAAGGGAUUGGUAAACCCAUGAAAAUUUGCCGUGCUUGGGAUCGGAAAUUGCAAUUAUUUUCCGUGAACGAGGAAUUCCAAGUAAGUGCGAGUCAUCA
rnacentral:rRNA from 1 species